rnacentral:rRNA from 1 species
AGCGAACGCUGGCGGCAGGCUUAACACAUGCAAGUCGAGCGGGCAUCUUCGGAUGUCAGCGGCAGACGGGUGAGUAACACGUGGGAACGUACCCUUCGGUUCGGAACAACUCUGGGAAACUGGAGCUAAUACCGGAUACGCCCUGAUGGGGAAAGGUUUACUGCCGAAGGAUCGGCCCGCGUCUGAUUAGCUAGUUGGUGGGGUAACGGCCUACCAAGGCGACGAUCAGUAGCUGGUCUGAGAGGAUGAUCAGCCACACUGGGACUGAGACACGGCCCAGACUCCUACGGGAGGCAGCAGUGGGGAAUAUUGGACAAUGGGCGCAAGCCUGAUCCAGCCAUGCCGCGUGAGUGAUGAAGGCCUUAGGGUUGUAAAGCUCUUUUGUCCGGGACGAUAAUGACGGUACCGGAAGAAUAAGCCCCGGCUAACUUCGUG